rnacentral:tRNA from 1 species
GUUGCUCAGUGGUUAGAGCAUUGGCCUAUUGACCCAAGGGUUGCGGGUUCGAAUUCUGCC